GACGUAGGGGGCCAGCGUUGUUCGGAAUUACUGGGCGUAAAGCGUGCGCAGGCGGUUUGCUAAGACAGGUGUGAAAUCCCCGGGCUUAACCUGGGAACUGCGCUUGUAACUGGCAAGCUAGAGUGUGGCAGAGGGGGGUGGAAUUCCACGUGUAGCAGUGAAAUGCGUAGAGAUGUGGAGGAACACCGAUGGCGAAGGCAGCCCCCUGGGCUAACACUGACGCUCAUGCACGAAAGCGUGGGGAGCAAACAGG
rnacentral:rRNA from 1 species